rnacentral:tRNA from 1 species
GAAGAGGUGUUUUGGUGAAAUGAAAGGUUUGAUUGGGGUUCAGAAAAGGGGUUGAAUUUAAUUCUUCUUCA